rnacentral:lncRNA from 1 species
UGCGGAGCUUGUAAGCAGACCAGAGGAGGGUAUAGGCAAUGUGACAGCCUCGUCAUCGGUGCGGCGUGGCUCAGCCGUGUCGGUGUCAUCCUGGGGCAGAGCCGACAUUCGCAGGAUACUUGUAAGGUCGCAAUGACGCUAUCCAGCAGUGCUUCUUCAUGUCAAGGUAGAGCUGAUGAAAUUCAUCUACUUACAAGUGAGUAAUCAAUACCAGAAGUGCGCACCAUGGUAGUCAGGGGAGGCGCGCUGGAUGGCUCCCCGCCCUCUGUGUGCAUCGCUACAAUUAGCGUCUCAGUAGCUCCAUGGUCAGCCAUGUAUAAAGUCGCCAGUUAUGGUUGCUUCUGCGUUCUUGCGCAAGAGUGCGCCGGAGCCGCUGAGCUGUCUCUUGCUUCAAACUGCCUUGGAACCUUGCGACAUAGCUUUACUGUCGCCUUGCUCACAGCUAAUGGGGCAUGCGCCUCCAAAGAUAUUAAGGUGUCAGUCUUUGAACGGCGGACCAGUUCAAAGUUGACUUUUCGCAGUCGUUACAUACAAAGAUCUGUAUAUUCAGGGAAGUUAUUUAUGCAUGCAGCACGGUCUGUAAAAAACGUAUUUGAG